CAUGCAGUCNNNNNGAAGNAGACUUCGGUCUACGAGUAAAGUGGCGGACGNNNNNNNACACGUGGAUAACCUAUCCUCCGGCGGGGGAUAACAGUCCGAAAGGACUGCUAAUACCGCAUACGUCGGAAACGGGAAAGAACUUCUUUGGAGUUCACCGGAGGCGGGGUCCGCGUCGCAUCAGCUAGUUGGUGGGGUAAUGGCCUACCAAGGCUAAGACGCGUAGCUGGUCUGANAGGAUGAUCAGCCACACUGGGACUGAGACACGGCCCAGACUCCUACGGGGGGCAGCAGUGGGGAAUAUUGGGCAAUGGGCGGAAGCCUGACCCAGCCACGCCGCGNGAGUGAUGAAGGCCUUCGGGUCGUAAAGCUCUGUGGAGAGGGACGAAGAAGUCAUGGUGAACCAUGGCGGUGACGGUACCUCUUUAGCAAGCACCGGCUAACUCCGUGCCAGCAGCCGCGGUAAUACGGAGGGUGCAAACGUUGCUCGNAAUCAUUGGGCGUAAAGCGAGUGUAGGCGGCUUAUCANGUCGGAUGUGAAAGCCCUCGGCUCAACCGAGGAAGUGCAUUCGAAACUGGUAGGCUCGAGUACUGNNGAGGGUGUCGGAAUUCCCGGUGUAGANGUGAAAUUCGUAGAUNUCGGGNGGNACAACAGU
rnacentral:rRNA from 1 species